ACGGAAGGUCCAGGCGUUAUCCGGAUUUAUUGGGUUUAAAGGGAGCGUAGGCUGGAGAUUAAGUGUGUUGUGAAAUGUAAACGCUCAACGUCUGAAUUGCAGCGCGUACUGGUUUACUUGAGUACGCACAACGUUGGCGGAAUGCAUAGUGUAGCGGUGAAAUGCUCAGAUAUGACGAAGAACGCCGAUUGCGAAGGCGGCUGACGGGAGCGCAACUGACGCUUAAGCGCGAAGGUGCGGGUAUCGACCAG
rnacentral:rRNA from 1 species